rnacentral:lncRNA from 1 species
UGACACUAGCACUGACUCACACCAGUAAUAAUAUCUCACUUUGUGCCUUGCUAGCAAUGCUUCCAGAUCAAACCACCCCAGCUUCUCCAGGCCUCUGGUCCACUCUGUGCGCCGGGAGCGGUACAGGGACUGGAGAAAACCAGGAAGAAUCAUCCGGAAGGCAUGAGGAUGCAUCUGAGGUCUGUCAGGAGCUUGCGGAGUGCUUACUGAGCCAGACGCGACCAUCCCUCAUGAGGGUCAAGUAGAUAGAAAGUAGAUUUCUCCUGAGAAGAAUGAAAUUUGCUCCUGCAUGGGUAACCCUGGGAAGCCUUUGGAUGGUUUCGGUCUCCUUUCACUUCCGCCUGACAACUGCAUGGCUGGUUUGGGCUUUCCCAUCCUGGGAGCCAGCACAGGCUGUGGCUGCAAGCCAUCCUCAGAGGGACAACUGAUGGUUAUCUAGAAGGCCUGACCGCUCCUCCUGUGCUCACCACGAGCAGCCCAGCAGCUGGGUCUGCUGGCCUGCAAGCAGCGCAAGCUCAGCCCUGCCAGGCUCUGCACCCCUUGACGCUGCUGCAGGCGGCUGGACCCCGCUGCCCGGUGCCCUUUGGAGCCAGGUUAUGUGCUGCUUGUCAAAGCAAUCGCUUUGCCUGUGUUGGUGACUUGCAGGAACCUUGGUUCACUCCCAGUUGCCUCCCAGGCGCUGAAGCCUCUUCCUGCUCAGCAUUUCUUCUUCUCUCUGCAAGUCCGAAUGAGCUCGGCUGCCACUGCCUCUYGGUUGCCGGCCAUAGCUCCAUGGCUGGCUGACUCCAUGCGGACGAAGGGGAGGUUUUGCCAGUUAUGGAUCCACAGGAACCAGGCCAGCAGCAUUCGUCACUGCGGCUAAGAGCAGCACUCAGAUGACGGCUGACCAAGGAGAGCUUUUCAGGAGCACUCCUGACCUGGUGCUCUGGGAUGCAGGAGGAUUCCCAGCCUUGCCUUCCUAGCCAGGAGCUAGCAAACAACUCGUAUGGGCCCCAGUGAAGGUUAGAAACGUUAUGAGCAGAGCUGUAAUAACCCAGCACCUUUGCUGGGGAGACAGGGGUAUGAAAAAACAGGAGGCAUGCGACUCAGUUCUCUAGCCGCUCUGCCUUGUGCUCCUCCAGGCAUCACAGAUUAGGGUGGUGGCAGGGCCAUUUAUUUUUCCAAGCCCAUUUGGAGUCAUCUUCUCCUUAAACAAUUGAGAUAAGAAGGUGCCUGGCCAGCCUCACAGCUAUUUGUGUGGCCGGUAAUAAAGAGCUAACUACAAGGCA